GGAGGGAGAGAAAGAGGGAAAGAGAGGGGGGGGUGGAGGGAGGAGGGAGAGAGGGAGGGGAGUGGAGGAGGAGAGAACAGUGUAUACCGCAGACAUCAUUUCUACUACAGUGGCAGAGACGUCCAGGACCUGUUUCACUGCAGGGGGAUAAAAAACAAGCCCUGUGGAUCAGCAACAGCAGCAGCAAGCAGCAACAGCCGCCGCAAGACAUUGUUUCUCUCCCUCUGCCCCCCUUCCCCAAGCAACCCCAGAUCCAUUUACACUUUACACUGCAUCACAAGGCAAGCCAGAAGGGUGGUCCAUUCAAACUUUGGAUUUAUUCAUGGUCUUUGUACAGCAGCCCCUUCUCCCAUCAUCACUACUGGGAAGUGUACUAUAAAUCAGCAUAUUGGAGCACAAUGAAAGAGUUUAUUCCCAGGCCUCAGGAGAAGUUCAGCUGCACCCAGUGA
rnacentral:lncRNA from 1 species